rnacentral:lncRNA from 1 species
GUAGAGCAGCACAUCCCUCUAUCUCCCUGUUCUCCUUUCUCCUUUCUGCUCCACGCAGACGCCACUCUGCUCAAAUAUUUCUGUCGUAGGCACUCGCUCUCUCCCUUGUUGCUCCAUCCCGCAAAAUGGAUUGGUGAGGUGCCCCCAUUCCACAACGGGAUGCUCCGCUUUCCCCCCCGCACACAAGCAACUUAGCGCACACUGGCGCCUUGCUGGCACUCAUGCGCGGCACUGUUUCGCCCAACCAAGCCCGAUGCUCGCCGCGUGGCCUCAAGCUCGCAAACCAAAGAUCACCGGCCGUCCAUCCUAAAGGAG